UACCAGCACCCCGAGUGGUCGGGACGAUUAUUGGGCCUAAAGCAUCCGUAGCCGGCCUUACAAGUCCUCCGUUAAAUCCAGCUGCUUAACAGAUGGGCUGCGGAGGAUACUAUAAGACUAGGAGGCAGGAGAGGCAAGCGGUACUCAGUGGGUAGGGGUAAAAUCCGUUGAUCCAUUGAAGACCACCAGUGGCGAAGGCGGCUUGCCAGAAUGCGCUCGACGUGAGGAUGAAGGCUGGG
rnacentral:rRNA from 1 species